rnacentral:rRNA from 1 species
UUAGGAAAGUUUCGGCGGUUGGGGAUGGACUCGCGGCUUAUCAGCUUGUUGGUGGGGUAGUGGCUUACCAAGGCUUUGACGGGUAGCCGGCCUGAGAGGGUGACCGGCCACAUUGGGACUGAGAUACGGCCCAGACUCCUACGGGAGGCAGCAGUGGGGAAUAUUGCACAAUGGGUGGAAGCCUGAUGCAGCAACGCCGUGUGCGGGAUGACGGCCUUCGGGUUGUAAACCGCUUUCGCUCAUGGCGAAGCUUUGUGUGACGGUAGUGGGUAAAGAAGCACCGGCUAACUACGUG